AGAAUCAACGCUGGCGGCGUGCCUAACACAUGCAAGUCGAACGAGAAAGGGUAGCAAUACCUGAGUAAAGUGGCGCACGGGUGAGUAACACGUGACUAACCUACCUUUUAGUGGGGGAUAACCUAGGGAAACCUGGGCUAAUACCGCAUAAUACUUACGAGUCAAAGCAGCAAUGCGCUGAAAGAGGGGGUCGCGGUCGAUUAGUUAGUUGGCAGGGUAAUGGCCUACCAAGACUGUGAUCGAUAUCCGGCCUGAGAGGGCGCACGGACACACUGGAACUGAAACACGGUCCAGACUCCUACGGGAGGCAGCAGUGGGAAUUUUGCGCAAUGGGGGAAACCCUGACGCAGCAACGCCGCGUGGAGGAUGAAGUCCCUUGGGACGUAAACUCCUUUCGAUCGGGACGAUAAUGACGGUACCGGAAGAAGAAGCCCCGGCUAACUUCGCGCCAGCAGCCGC
rnacentral:rRNA from 1 species